rnacentral:tRNA from 1 species
GGCUUCAUAGCUCAGUUGGUUAGAGCGUUGCACCACUAUUGAGAGGUCACGAGUUCAACCCUGUUGAAGUCC